ACCUGGUGCUCAGACUCUGGAGGUGACUCCUCUGAGCCCCCACCAGUGCUAUUCCGCAUCUCUGAGUGCCGCUUGUCUCUUUCCGCUGCCACAGUUUCUGCAACAAUUUCUGGCAUGUUGGCAUAUUGGCCAGGAAGCCGACAACCAAGCUGGCCCCUGUGCCACCGUUGUCAGGGAAUUGGGGAAGGCCGAGGUCGCCAGCCCAGUGAGAGGCAGAUAGCACAUGCCCGGCCAUUUUGCAGGAUCUUAACUCUCACUUGGGCCAUCCCGACCCGACUCACACCGCUUCCCAAAGGGACUAAGAAGGAAGAAGGGAAACAGGUUCCAGGAUGGGGCGCCAAACUGGUAUCAGAAAAUUCAACCCAAAUUGUCUUAAGGAAAAAACUGGGGUGACUUAUGUAUACUGACCCAUGUACCUGAACAGCUUUGAAGAGUGGCAGGACGUAAUACUGGCUUCAAGUACAGCUGGAUACAGGCUCAAUUUCUCUUCCUCUCUUUCUCCCAGAGAUUUCCUUAGCUGCAAGGAAGCCUGGGAGAACGUUUAUCUGGCAUUUUCAUCUUCAGGAGUGGAGACCUGUCUACCUCAUAAUUUGAAAGAUCCAUCUACAGCAGGUCAGCAUAAGCUGCUCUAAAGAGACUGCUAUAAACCGUGACCUUGGAACAUCUCCCUCUUGCAGCACUUUUGGUUGGGUGAUCAAGCAUCCACCUCCACUUAUCUUCUCUUGUCUUCUCUCCACAAGUGAGACUGGAAAAAAUUCAUCUCUUGUCUGGUUUCUCACAUGGACAAGUCUGGCCAUAGAUGUUAGCCAACGAAGCAUAGCCUCAGGUUUCUAGGAAAGAGAGGAGAGAGUGCUCUGACCUUCGGCUCCUCUUCUGCCUCAUACCCAUGCAUUGCUGACAUUCCAUCUGGAGCUGUAGAUCCCAUUUUGACAUCAUGAGAAGAAAGAUGUGAGACUAAAGGGCAGCCGAAGUAAGAAGGAUGAUGCUACAUCCCUGGCGGUGUUCAUGAGCCGUUGAACCGAUGCUGCUACCACCCAUCCCAUCCCCUCCAGACGUCUUGUUAUAAAAGGCAAAUGAAACCCUAUUCGACUAAGCCAUCUUUAAGGUAGAGUUAAGGUAACUUACAGCCAAUCUUCUACUACAACUAAAACAUGUGGCAUCUCAAAAUAGAUACUAAAAAAACCACCCAAGGCAGCAGCACAGUGGUUUAGCACCCCGAGAGGUAGUUUCUCUGAGCUAUUCCUCCACCUCCAUCUCAGCACUCAGCCUGAAGCUGCUGCCCAAAGAACAACAGCCCUUGUGACCUAGAAGGAAACAAGGAGCUCUUUGCCCCCACAGUCCUGGCAGCUGGGUCAGAGCUGGAAAUGCAGUCACAGAAAGCAAUGGUGUGACAUGUAAGGCGCUAAGAGACAGAGGGAGCUUGCAGAAUGCCUUGGCGCUCUUCAAGGAAGAUCUGGAAGGGAAGAGUGGAUUAAGCAUAAGUGAUGAGGAUCAGCCUGUGAUGUAUCUUUUCAUCAGCGUGUCCCCAACCAGAUGCUCAGACAAGUGUACUCUGGGGUGUACUUAUUACAGGAAAGGCAUGAAACAAUUUGAAAUGCUACUGCCUUAAGGAAGGGUUGGCUGUCUCCAUGUCAUGGAGCAAGGCCAGUCAAGACUUAGCAAAGCAGUGCCCAUAUAAAAAUUACGAAACUAAAUUCUGCAAAGCAUAAGUGGUUACCAAAAUGGUAUCUAAAACCCUGGAAUGAACUUGCGUCCAACAGAGCCUUCACAGAGCACUGAGUAAAGGGCUUAAUGUUAAUGAAAAAUAUGAGAAUUUGGAGGAGGAUACAGGAAAAACAAUCAAGAUGACCAGGUUUGGAAAACAUCUAAUUUUUAAAAGGCGAAAAGAAUUGUGCCUUCUGUGCCCUGAGAAAAGAGGAAAGCCAUGAUGUGAUUUUAAUAAUCAUCUCUAAGAUUAUGAUGUGCUGUUAUAAUCAAAUCAGAAUGAUAUUCAAUCCCAUUUGUUUUUUCUUGGGAGUCGACUUCAUAACAUCACUUUGGGAGUUUCCAUUGUGGUUCAGCAGUAACAAACCCAACUAGUAUUCAUGAGGACUCAGGUUUGAUCCCUGGCCUCGCUCAGUGGGUUAAGGAUCCUGUGUUGAUGUGGCUGUGGUGCAGGCCAGCAGCUGCAACUCCAAUUUGAGCCCUCGCCUGGGAACUUCCAUAUGCCAUGGCUGUGACCCUACAACAAACAAACAAACAAAAAACAUAACAGCAUCACUUUGGUGCACAUCUGUUCUCAAUUUGCCUCCUCAGGAAAAUUAGCCUCACCUCCCUUGGUAAAAAGGGACUCACCAAGAUGUGAUGAAAUCUGCUUAUCUUAUGUAUUGGAAAGUUUCCAAGAAAUUGGUCCUGUGUUUCUAAGCAGUCCUACUUUACUGAAGAGCGAGGGUAACCAUGUUUUGUGUGCUUUGCACCCAUGAGGACAGAAAUGUGAAGGGGAAGGAAUAGUGUGAAAACAGGGAGGGGCUGGCGGGGAAGAUGGAGAGAUAGCUGCACAGCUGACACCAUCCCUGACCCAUCUCACAGCAGACCCGGGGCUGGGAUGCGUGAGCCCAGAAGGGACAGCCCACAAAGGUCUGGAAUCCCCACACAACUAACUCUAGCACCGUGGUAGCCUGGUGACAACUCAGCAGAGCCCACAGGUCUGGAAACGGAUAUCUGCCCAAACCUCAGCAUUCCUCCUGGUGGGCUGCCAACCAUCAAGUGAGUGCGACUGAGUGUCCUUGGCUUUGAGUCCACACACGCCAACAAUUUCAUCUCCCCUUGAGGCUUGGUGCCCAUCAUGUCCCAGGGCUUUGGCCUUGAGGGCAUCCUGGAUGGGCUGGGAACACCUGCUGUCCAUGACCUUG
rnacentral:lncRNA from 1 species